rnacentral:rRNA from 1 species
AGCAGCCGCGGUAAUUCCAGCUCCAAUAGCGUAUAUUAAAGUUGUUGCAGUUAAAAAGCUCGUAGUUGAAUUUCGGGAUCAAUUAAUCGGUCGUGCCUCUGGUACGCACUGGUUUUAUUGGUUUCUCCCUUCUGACGAACCAGGAUGUCAUUAAUUUGGUGUCUUGGAGAAUCAGGACUGUUACUUUGAAAAAUUAGAGUGUUUAAAGCAGGCUUCUAGGCAUGAAUACAUUAGCAUGGAAUAAUGAAAUAGGACGUUUGAUCCUAUUUUGUUGGUUUCUAGGAUCGACGUAAUGAUUAAUAGGGAUAGUUGGGGGCAUUAGUAUUCAAUUGUCAGAGGUGAAAUUCUUGGAUUUAUUGAAGACUAACUAUUGCGAAAGCAUUUGCCAAGGAUGUUUUCAUUAAUCAAGAACGAAAGUUAGGGGAUCGAAGACGAUCAGAUACCGUCGUAGUCUUAACCAUAAACUAUGCCGACUAGGGAUCGGAUGAUGUUAAAUUUUUUUAAUGUACUCAUUCGGUAC